CCAAUAGCGUAUAUUAAAGUUGUUGCAGUUAAAAAGCUCGUAGUUGAAUUUCGGGGUCAGUAGAUAGGUCAUGCCACUGGUAUGUACUGGUCUCACUGAUUCCUCCUUCCUGAUGAGCCGUAAUGCCAUUAAUUUGGUGUUGCGAGGAAUCUGGACUGUUACUUUGAAAAAAUUAGAGUGUUUAAAGCAGGCUAACGCUUGAAUACAUUAGCAUGGAAUAAUGAAAUAGGACGUUCGAUCUUAUUUUGUUGGUUUCUAAGAUUGACGUAAUGAUUAAUAGGGAUAGUUGGGGGCAUUAGUAUUCAAUUGUCAGAGGUGAAAUUCUUGGAUUUAUUGAAGACUAACUACUGCGAAAGCAUUUGCCAAGGAUGUUUUCAUUAAUCAAGAACGAAAGUUAGGGGAUCGAAGACGAUCAGAUACCGUCGUAGUCUUAACCAUAAACUAUGCCGACUAGGGAUCGGAUGAUGUUAAUUUUUUAAUGACUCAUUCGGCGCCUUACG
rnacentral:rRNA from 1 species